rfam:Solanum lycopersicum cultivar Heinz 1706 chromosome 6, whole genome shotgun sequence.
AUACUUACCUAGAUGGGGUCAAUGGGUGAUCAUGAAGAUCCAUGGACCAUGCUUUUGACCUACAUUGCACUUUGGAGGGGUGCCUGUCGGCCCAAGUGGUUGAGCCUACGUCAUAAUUUGUUGCUGAGGGGGCCUGCGUUUGUGUGGCCCAGG